UACGGAGGGUGCAAGCGUUAAUCGGAAUUACUGGGCGUAAAGGGUGCGUAGGUGGUUUAAUAAGUUAGCUGUGAAAUCCCCGGGCUUAACCUGGGCAGGUCAGCUAAGACUGUUAGACUCGAGUAUAGGAGAGGGUAGUGGAAUUUCCGGUGUAGCGGUGAAAUGCGUAGAGAUCGGAAGGAACACCAGUGGCGAAGGCGGCUACCUGGCCAGAUACUGACACUGAGGCACGAAAGCGUGGGGAGCAAACAGG
rnacentral:rRNA from 1 species